AUUUAAUCUCAGGACACUUUAUCUCCUUUAUCUUAAGUGAAAUAUGUUUUAAUCCUAUUCAGGAUUCAGGAAAAGGCCUUGGGAUUGGCUUAAAAUGUUGUGAACUUUGUGUACAGGCUCAUGACAAAUUCCUUUUGUUUUUAUCAGUGUUUUGUUAGUUUGACUUGCAAAGAGUUGCGUCCUUUGAGUAUUUAGUUUUUCAUGGUCUUAUUGUUACGACUCGGCUGCAGCUGCUGCUGAAGAAACUCAACAGAAGGAGGAUGGAGAUCGAUGACGACUCCUCUGCAUUCCUCGCAAAGUCUGAAUCCAGCGGCCCCUUCAAUAACCUGCGCUGGUCCACUCGUGUGUUUUCCAUGGAGUGUGUGUGUGUUGUAUAAUAGCACAGUGUGAGAAUGGAGACAGGGCUCACUUCAACAUGACACUUGCUCAAGAACAGCGUUUACAUGAAUCUGCAGAUUUCCUGGUUCUACACUUGGCGGACCGCAUGGCUCUCAUAGCAGCCACAGACCACAGCGAUCAGCUCCGACUGGCUGGUUUACAAACACUGCUGGUCAUUAUCCAGAAAUUCUUCAGUGUGCCAGAGCCCGAGUUCCCUGGACAUGUCAUUCUGGAGUAAUAUCAAGCAAUGUUUGCAGUGCAUGGAUCGCCAGUGGGGUCAUCAGCGACCUGCGUGACCUGAGAAGGGUACAUCAGCUUCUGGCUUCCUCUCUCGCCAAAGCUCAAAGCCUGGGACGAGGUGUAUAUCACAGUGGUACAGGGCUCCAGGCAGCCAUCUUCAGCAGCAGAAUGAUGAGGCUGGGACUGCAGGUCCAGCAGGGGCUGGUUUGCUCAAACUGGUCCAGACUGAGCCGCCUGUGGCUGGCUGCCCUUCAGGACCAUGCCCUGCUCACCCUGCCCUCACAAUACUCCAGUCAGCUCCCCUC